rnacentral:rRNA from 1 species
AGUGAACGCUGGCGGCAGGCCUAACACAUGCAAGUCGAACGAGUGGCGGACGGGUGAGUAAUGUCUGGGAAACUGCCUGAUGGAGGGGGAUAACUACUGGAAACGGUAGCUAAUACCGCAUACCAUCGGAUGUGCCCAGAUGGGAUUAGCUAGUAGGUGGGGUAAAGGCUCACCUAGGCGACGUUCCCUAGCUGGUCUGAGAUGAUGACUAGCCAAACUGGAACCGAGCCACGCUCCAGUCUCCUACGGGAGGCCGCCGUGGGGAAUAUCGCACAAUGGGCGCAAGCCCGACCUAGCCAUGCCGCGUGUAUGAAGAAGGUCUUCGGGUUGUAAAGUCCUUUCAGCGGGGAGGCGUUACCGGUAGAAGAAGCACCGGCUAACUCCGUGCCAGCCGCCGCGGUAAUAC